rnacentral:rRNA from 1 species
GACGAACGCUGGCGGCGUGCUUAACACAUGCAAGUCGAACGGAAAGGCCCUGCUUUUGUGGGGUGCUCGAGUGGCGAACGGGUGAGUAACACGUGAGUAACCUGCCCUUGACUUUGGGAUAACUUCAGGAAACUGGGGCUAAUACCGGAUAGGAGCUCCUGCUGCGUGGUGGGGGUUGGAAAGUUUCGGCGGUUGGGGAUGGACUCGCGGCUUAUCAGCUUGUUGGUGGGGUAGUGGCUUACCAAGGCUUUGACGGGUAGCCGGCCUGAGAGGGUGACCGGCCACAUUGGGACUGAGAUACGGCCCAGACUCCUACGGGAGGCAGCAGUGGGGAAUAUUGCACAAUGGGCGGAAGCCUGAUGCAGCAACGCCGCGUGCGGGAUGACGGCCUUCGGGUUGUAAACCGCUUUCGCCUGUGACGAAGCGUGAGUGACGGUAAUGGGUAAAGAAGCACCGGCUAACUACGUGCCAGCAGCCGCGGUGAUACGUAGGGUGCGAGCGUUGUCCGGAUUUAUUGGGCGUAAAGGGCUCGUAGGUGGUUGAUCGCGUCGGAAGUGUAAUCUUGGGGCUUAACCCUGAGCGUGCUUUCGAUACGGGUUGACUUGAGGAAGGUAGGGGAGAAUGGAAUUCCUGGUGGAGCGGUGGAAUGCGCAGAUAUCAGGAGGAACACCAGUGGCGAAGGCGGUUCUCUGGGCCUUUCCUGACGCUGAGGAGCGAAAGCGUGGGGAGCGAACAGGCUUAGAUACCCUGGUAGUCCACGCUGUAAACGGUGGGUACUAGGUGUGGGGUCCAUUCCACGGGUUCCGUGCCGUAGCUAACGCUUUAAGUACCCCGCCUGGGGAGUACGGCCGCAAGGCUAAAACUCAAAGGAAUUGACGGGGCCCCGCACAAGCGGCGGAGCAUGCGGAUUAAUUCGAUGCAACGCGUAGAACCUUACCUGGGUUUGACAUGGAUCGGGAGUGCUCAGAGAUGGGUGUGCCUCUUUUGGGGUCGGUUCACAGGUGGUGCAUGGCUGUCGUCAGCUCGUGUCGUGAGAUGUUGGGUUAAGUCCCGCAACGAGCGCAACCCUUGUUCACUGUUGCCAGCACGUUAUGGUGGGGACUCAGUGGAGACCGCCGGGGUCAACUCGGAGGAAGGUGGGGAUGACGUCAAGUCAUCAUGCCCCUUAUGUCCAGGGCUUCACGCAUGCUACAAUGGCUGGUACAGAGAGUGGCGAGCCUGUGAGGGUGAGCGAAUCUCGGAAAGCCGGUCUCAGUUCGGAUUGGGGUCUGCAACUCGACCUCAUGAAGUCGGAGUCGCUAGUAAUCGCAGAUCAGCAACGCUGCGGUGAAUACGUUCCCGGGGCU